rnacentral:rRNA from 1 species
UACGUAGGUGGCGAGCGUUGUCCGGAAUUACUGGGCGUAAAGGGCGCGUAGGCGGUUCUUUAAGUCAGAUGUGAAAACCCAGGGCUUAACUUUGGGAGUGCAUUUGAAACUGAAGGACUCGAGUGCAGGAGAGGUAAGUGGAAUUCCUAGUGUAGCGGUGAAAUGCGUAGAUAUUAGGAGGAACACCAGUGGCGAAGGCGACUUACUGGACUGUAACUGACGCUGGGGCGCGAAAGCGUGGGGAGCAAACAGG